rnacentral:rRNA from 1 species
GCAAGUCUGGUGCCAGCAGCCGCGGUAAUUCCAGCUCCAAUAGCGUAUAUUAAAGUUGUUGCGGUUAAAAAGCUCGUAGUUGGAUUUCUGUUCCAGACUGGCGGUCCACCGAACGGUGGCGACUGUCAGGCCUGAACAUCCGGUCGGUUCUCGACAGAUUUCCCGCGGUGCUCUUCGUUGAGUGUCGCGGGAGGCCGACAAGUUUACUUUGAAAAAAUUAGAGUGCUCAAAGCAGGCGUUUCGGCCUGAAUAAUGGUGCAUGGAAUGAUGGAAUAGGACCUCGGUUCUAUUUUGUUGGUUUUCGCAACUCGAGGUAAUGAUUAAGAGGGACAGACGGGGGCAUUCGUAUUGCGACGCUAGAGGUGAAAUUCUUGGACCGUCGCAAGACGAACUACUGCGAAAGCAUUGCCAAGAAUGUUUUCAU